rnacentral:rRNA from 1 species
GAUGAACGCUGGCGGCGGGCCUAAUACAUGCAAGUCGAGCGAACAGACGAGGAGCUUGCUCCUCUGACGUUAGCGGCGGACGGGUGAGUAACACGUGGAUAACCUACCUAUAAGACUGGGAUAACUUCGGGAAACCGGAGCUAAUACCGGAUAAUAUAUUGAACCGCAUGGUUCAAUAGUGAAAGACGGUUUUGCUGUCACUUAUAGAUGGAUCCGCGCCGCAUUAGCUAGUUGGUAAGGUAACGGCUUACCAAGGCAACGAUGCGUAGCCGACCUGAGAGGGUGAUCGGCCACACUGGAACUGAGACACGGUCCAGACUCCUACGGGAGGCAGCAGUAGGGAAUCUUCCGCAAUGGGCGAAAGCCUGACGGAGCAACGCCGCGUGAGUGAUGAAGGUCUUCGGAUCGUAAAACUCUGUUAUUAGGGAAGAAAAAAUGUGUAAGUAACUAUGCACGUCUUGACGGUACCUAAUCAGAAAGCCACGGCUAACUACGUG